GCCUGGGUGGCUUGGUCGGUUAAGCGUCUGACUUCGGCUCAGGUCAUGAUCUUACCGUCCGUGAGUUCGAGCCCCGCGUCGGGCU
rnacentral:tRNA from 1 species